GAUGAAGAACGCAGCGAAAUGCGAUAAGUAGUGUGAAUUGCAGAAUUCAGUGAAUCAUCGAAUCUUUGAACGCACAUUGCGCCCUUUGGUAUUCCAAAGGGCAUGCCUGUUCGAGCGUCAUUUGUACCCUCAAGCUCAGCUUGGUGUUGGGUGUCUGUCCCCGCCUCACCGCGGGGACUCGCCUCAAAAUCAUUGGCGGCCGGUACGUUGGCUUCGAGCGCAGCAGAAACGCGAACUCGAGGCCCGGCGGAUCGGCGACCAGAAGUCACUUCUUCACAGUUUGACCUCGGAUCAGGUAGGGAUACCCGCUGAACUUAAGCAUAUCAAUAAGCGGAGGA
rnacentral:misc_RNA from 1 species